GCGUCCGUCAUGCCGUGCGAAAUUGACAAAUUAAAGCCUAGACUUUAUAUAAAUUGCAUGGACAUGAAAGACUACGAACCUGUAGGUCGGGUGUUCGAAUCACUUCGGGCGCGCCA
rnacentral:tRNA from 1 species